CCGCGUGUGUGAAGAAGGCCUUAUGGUUGUAAAGCACUUUAAGCGAGGAGGAGGCUACUUUAGUUAAUACCUAGAGAUAGUGGACGUUACUCGCAGAAUAAGCACCGGCUAACUCUGUGCCAGCAGCCGCGGUAAUACAGAGGGUGCGAGCGUUAAUCGGAUUUACUGGGCGUAAAGCGUGCGUAGGCGGCUUAUUAAGUCGGAUGUGAAAUCCCCGAGCUUAACUUGGGAAUUGCAUUCGAUACUGGUGAGCUAGAGUAUGGGAGAGGAUGGUAGAAUUCCAGGUGUAGCGGUGAAAUGCGUAGAGAUCUGGAGGAAUACCGAUGGCGAAGGCAGCCA
rnacentral:rRNA from 1 species